rnacentral:tRNA from 2 species
GCGCCAAUAGCUCAAGCGGUAGAGCAACUGACUCUUAAUCAGUGGGUUUGGGGUUCGAGUCCCUAUUGGCGCACCA